rnacentral:lncRNA from 1 species
GUGUUCUGUUGGUGUUCUCCCUGGUGUGUCGUCUCUCUUUCUUCUUGAGUUUCUGGUGGAUGAAGGCUUUUGGUUGGUGUUCUACCUUUCUUCUUCCUUCUCGGUUUCAUGGAUGCCCUGUCCUGAUGACCGAACGCUUCUUCAGUUGGUAAGGAGGUAUUCAUCUUGAUUUUUUGCUGAGGAUUGAGAAAGGUAUCUUCGCCUCAGGUAUUCUCUUACCUUUGAUC